UUAUAAGAAAAUUCUUCUUUGAUCAAUAUGAAAUCUAUUUUAUAUUUUCCUUGGCUGACUUUUCAUCUAAUCUCAAAGUCUUGCUUCUCUUUGUUUCAAUGUCCAAAUAUCUAAAAAGAGACAUUCAACUGUCUGGCCAUGUUCACUCUAUCUCUAGUACGCUAUCCUUUGAUUUUUCAACAUUAUAUUUAAACAUUUUCAAUCUAUAACUCUAUUUUUCUCUUCGAAUUAGAAUAACUCUAUAAUAGAAUUGAUUUAUACUAUGGUAAUAUUCUAUUUUAGAGUGAAAAAUAGUACGAUAAACAAAAAAGAAUAUUCCAUUUAUAGAUUAAACCAAUUAUUUUAAUCUAUAUAAAGUGAAAUAUAGAAUAUGGUUGAAACUUUUUUACUUCAAAUUUUAUUUUAUAGUGAAAAAAAUAUAAUGGGAUUGGAGUUGCCCUUGAAGCUCAACACCACAAUCUCGAACAUAAACCAGUAUAUGAUCAUGAUUUAUGACCUACGAGCUUGGACUUAAACACACGAGCCAAUCAUGUAGGCAAUGAAAAGGUCAAGCCAACACAAAUGAUGGCCCAUCCCUUGUCCCAUUGUGUUCCUGUAACGACCGUGACCCAGGUUUCUUAACCGGUUUGGUUUGUGUAAUUAUUAUUAUUAUUAUUAUUAAACCAAAGCUUUUUUUUAAGUCGUGCGUGUGUGUAUUUAAAAUGAAUCAAGACCCUAUUAAUUUUAUUUGGUCGAGAGUGGAGCCGCCUUAUCAUAUGAUCAUCUCGUCCUUCUCUCUUUGGUAUCUUCUUCUCCAUGCACCAUUUCUCAUCUCCUCCCGAGCUCACUUCCCUGUUAGUCUCUUCUGCUCCUUCAUUAUCAUUCAUGUGUUGGUGUGAAAGGAGAGAUCAUCUUUAUUGUGUUCGUGUGUUGACGUUGGAGGAUACGAGACGCGCCGUUCACCAUCAAUCACCACCGGAUCCAUUGUAGCUGAUUCCUAUGGAACAAUCGUAGCUCUUGCUCUUGUUGGUGUCAUGUAGCAGAGCUGAGACGUGGGGAGAGACGAGUGAUGUCGGCGUUGUCGCUUCUCAUCAUCAUGACGCCGAUCCACACCACCACCAUACCAGCCGUGAACUAGUGGACGAGUAUGCCAUGCUACCGGAGAGCCGCGGCGUGUCACCGGCGAUAGUACAUCAUGGAGUCUCAGAUCCAUAACCGUGAGCCUUGCCGUGAGGUUGAGUGGUCUUUAUCCACUUACUUGUGCAACAAAUCCAUGGCGAAACCUUAGCUUUCUUGGUGAUCAAGUUAUGUCAUUGUUUUCCGAUCUGAUUCCGGUUCUAGAUAUUGGCUAAGGUGAGCAUGACAACUAGUUGGAUAUGUGGACGGAUUGGUGUCUUGGGAUCGUUGUAUUUUAUUUCGGUUUUAAUUAACUUUUCGAUUUAAGGUACUUGGUUUUAAAUUGUAAACUUGUAUUUAUUUGGAAAUUAUUUGAUUAAAAGGUUCGACAUUUUAUUUGAUUUUAUAAAUCGGUUUAAUUCGAUAUUUUACCGUAAGUAACACGCCGUUCUCCAUAUAGGAGGUUACGGGUGUUACAAUUUGGUAUCAGAGCGGAGUUCCGUCCCGGCUCUGACCCGGGACGGCGAUUUAUGGGACUCGGAUUUCAGCGGUUUUCAAUGUUAUGUUUGGGGAUUGGGAGUUUUUUGGGGGAAAAAAAAUGACGCCGUUCUGUCCUAUAUCAUUCGGUUAGUUCUUAGCGUUUCUAACUCUUUUAUUUAUUUUUUUUGUACGAGAAGACCAAAUUUCUAUUCGUUUCCAUUAUUCUCCCAUCUCUUGUUCUUUUUUAUAUUAUAGUCGUUGAAGUUCUUUUCGGGUUCCAUCGAGAAUUCGGGAGGAAUUCCGAUUAAGUGGGGAAGAAUUGUAACGACCGUGACCCAGGUUUCUUUAACCGGUUUGGUUUGUGUAAUUAUUAUUAUUAUUAUUAUUAAACCAAAGCUUUUUUUUAAGUCGUGCGUGUGUGUAUUUAAAAUGAAUCAAAACCCUAUCAAUUUUAUUUGGUCGAGAGUGGAGCCGCCUUAUCAUAUGAUCAUCUCGUCCUUCUCUCUUUGGUAUCUUCUUCUCCAUGCACCAUUUCUCAUCUCCUCCCGAGCUCACUUCCCUGUUAGUCUCUUCUGCUCCUUCAUUAUCAUUCAUGUGUUGGUGUGAAAGGAGAGAUCAUCUUUAUUGUGUUCGUGUGUUGACGUUGGAGGAUACGAGACGCGCCGUUCACCAUCAAUCACCACCGGAUCCAUUGUAGCUGAUUCCUAUGGAACAAUCGUAGCUCUUGCUCUUGUUGGUGUCAUGUAGCAGAGCUGAGACGUGGGGAGAGACGAGUGAUGUCGGCGUUGUCGCUUCUCAUCAUCAUGACGCCGAUCCACACCACCACCAUACCAGCCGUGAACUAGUGGACGAGUAUGCCAUGCUACCGGAGAGCAGCGGCGUGUCACCGGCGAUAGUACAUCAUGGAGUCUCAGAUCCAUAACCGUGAGCCUUGCCGUGAGGUUGAGUGGUCUUUAUCCACUUACUUGUGCAACAAAUCCAUGGCGAAACCUUAGCUUUCUUGGUGAUCAAGUUAUGUCAUUGUUUUCCGAUCUGAUUCCGGUUCUAGAUAUUGGCUAAGGUGAGCAUGACAACUAGUUGGAUAUGUGGACGGAUUGGUGUCUUGGGAUCGUUGUAUUUUAUUUCGGUUUUAAUUAACUUUUCGAUUUAAGGUACUUGGUUUUAAAUUGUAAACUCGUAUUUAUUUGGAAAUUAUUUGAUUAAAAGGUUCGACAUUUUAUUUGAUUUUAUAAAUCGGUUUAAUUCGAUAUUUUACGGUAAGUUACACGCCGUUCUCCAUAUAGGAGGUUACGGGUGUUACAGUUCCCUUCUGAAGUCGCUAAUGUAUCAAUCCGAUUAUGCAAAAUCACAUGCUUACCUCCUCAUUUGUGAAAGCAACUCAGAUUAACUUCAAAAGUCAACCACCUUAUGAAAAAUAAGAAAGAUAAGGUGAACUGUAAAUUGGGCUCGCCCUAUAUUCAUUUGUUCAUUUAUUGUUUAUGGACGUAUGGAAUGACCAUAUCCAUUAAGGACCAAAUCCAUAAUAAACCAUAUAAGAAAAUUUUAUAUAUCAAUUUAUAAGCCUAUAAAUACAAAUACAAGUUUAUAAGACUAAAAUUCAUCUAUAAAUCCAUAAGUACAACAAAACAUAAGUUCAAAAGACCAUAUAAGUAGUACAACUUCACACAUAAUUUCAUAACUCAUAAGAUUUUGCGGAAAUUUUUGUUGUUACGGUUUUGGCAGGAAAUUUAUAUUGUAGUUUUGGUGAAAAAACUCAAUUUUAUGAUUUUGGCAGAAAACUUGAUUUUCGUGUUUGUUUCCAAAAAAAACUUGAUUUUGGAGAAAAACUCAAUUUUGCGAGUUUGGCAUAAAAACUUUAUUUUGCAAUUUUUGCAGAAAACUCAAUAUUAAGAUUUUAGUGGGAAAAUUCGAUUUUCCGAGUUUGACGGAAAAACUCGAUUUUGUGGUUUCGGCGGAUAAAUUUGAUUAGGCGGUUUUGGCGGGAAAACUUGAUUUUACGGCUUAGCGGGAAAAUUUGAUUUCACGUUUUUGGUGGAAAAUUUUGAUUUGACAUUUUUGGCGGGAAAACUUGAUUUUACGGUUUUGGCGGAAAACUCGAUAUUAAGAUUUUAGUGGAAAUUUUGAUUUUGCUAUUUUGGCGGGAAACUCGAUUUUACGGUUUUAGCAGAAAAAUUUGAUCUUGCGGUUUUGCCAGAAAAUUUGAUUUUGCGGGUUUGCCGGAAAAAUUCGAUAUUGCGUUUUUGGAGGGAAAUUUGAUUUUACGGUUUUGGCGGAAACUUGAUUUUAUGAGUUUUUGUGGAAAAUCGAUUUUGCAGUUUUAGUGGGAAAUUUGAUUUUGCGGUUUUGGUGAAAAACUUGAUUUUACGGUUUUUGUGGAAAACUCAGUUUUGCGGUUUUGGUGGAAAUACUCGAUAUUUAGAUUUUAGAAGAAAAAAUUCAAUUUUGAUAUUUUGACGGGAUAACUUGAAUAAGAAACCUUAGCUUUUUGUGACCAUUGGACUGACCGCGUCCACAGAGUCCAAAUCCACUAACGCCCAUGAUAGGCCUUGUUAGGUCUAUGUCCUUGCCAGUUUUGGACCAAGGGCCAUGACAAGUAAAGUAACGUGUUUUCGAUGCAGAACUUCUCUGUAAGUCAGGUCUACUUAGGAGAGCACAUUCUAAUGUCAGCCCCCAAUUCAACCAAACACAAAACAUUGAUAGAUAUGCUUCUGCGGUUUUCCUUUUGAGGCUCAAUAGAGCCUCAUGUGUCAAGGCUCGUGUCCAUCAGGUCACAAGAUUCUUGUCCUGGAGAUUCCAGAUUGAGGCAAAGUCACGUAAGCAAACAGCCAAAUGAAAAGCUUGGUGGGUUUGAUCAUUUCCAAAAGUGAAUUAAGGAAGAACAUGAAUUACUGUGAUGCUGUAAGACCUGAUUACGCAAAAGAUUAAAUUGCAGAUCGCAUAAGGAGAAAAGAGAGCUUUCACCACUCUGAAUUGCUUGCUACCAAUGUACAUGUUGAUAUGUCAGAUUACUACAAGACUCUUUGGAUCUGCAUGCGUUGUCGAUACACAAAACAUCAUACAUUAGCUCUGUUCUUUUGGCUGACGCUGCCGCAGCGGCCAACAAUUCAGAAAAUACGCUACAUAAUAGACUCAUCUUUUCUUUUACUGUUGUUAAAAUGAAUGCUAAGAAUACAAGAUUACUAUCUGGUGCGGGUAAACAAGUAUUACUCAAGUCGGUUCUCACCGCUAUUCCCGCCUACGCUAUGUCAUGUUUCAAACUCCCAACCUCUCUAUGAAAGAAAAUCCAAUCUCUAUUAACGAGGUUUUGGUGGGAUUCAAAACCCAAUGUUAGGAAGUGGUGUUGGAUAGCCUGGUCUAAGCUCACCCUACCGAAGAACUUGGGUGGAUUAGGCUUCCGAGACAUCGAGUGUUUCAAUCAGGCCCUACUGGCUAAGAUAACCUGGCGGCUUAUCCGAGAACCGCAAUCACUCCUGGCUCAAACCCUUUUGGGAAAGUAUUGCCAGUCGUCCUCCCUCCGUGAGUGUAACUGCCCCACGUCUGCGUCGCACAGAUGGAGAGGGAUUAUUUAGGGCCGUGACCUUCUUCAGCUGGGACUGGGAUGGAGCGUCGGAAAUGGGUCCCAGAUCAAGGUGUGGUCUGAACCAUGGCUGGCCUCUUCAGAACCUCUAACACCUAUAGGACCUCCUCCCUCUAUAGAGAGCCAAGAUUUACGAGUCUCAGACCAUAUGCACCCAGACACUAUGGAGUGGAACGUCAUGGCUAUACGACAACACUUGCCUCUUUAUGAGGACCGGAUUCUCCAGAUUAUUCCUAGCUCCUUCAAAAAACAUGAUGAACUUGUUUGGCUUCCAGAUGCUUCAGGCUUGUACAACUCUAAAUCAGGAUAUGAGUUGGCCAGGAAGUCACUCCAUACCCCUGUGACAGCUGAGUAUCCCUGGCGCAAAUGCAUAUGGAACCUAAACACUGCUCCUAAGAUUCAAUCUUUCCUAUGGAGCGCUUUGAAUGGAGCACUACCGGUGGGACAUACCCUAUUGAUAAGAGGGCUACAGGCCGAGUCAAGAUGCAAGCGGUGCGGGGAAACUGAAACCCCACUCCACCUAUUCUUUUCCUGUCCCUUUGCUGCCCGCAUUUGGGAGAAAGUCCCUGCCCUGUUGAUAUUCCGUGUUUUUAACGGUUUUAAACUCGUUUUGGAGCAAUUAAAUGGUCGGUUUUAAUUAAUGUUUUGGUCUAUUUGAUGCGUUUUGGUGUUCGUAAGUGUAAUAUGCAGGUUACUAGAUAGCUUGAAAGAAAAGAACGCAUUCGGGAUUUAUUCAGAAGCAAGAUAGACCGAACAAUUGACCGAAUGAAGUAUUGAUCGCACAGGACGUGGGAUCGACCGAUCCGGUCAAUGUAAAUCGACCGAUCUUAUGCUUUCAUGCACUAGAUCGACCGAUCCGGUAUAUGUGGAUCGACCGAUCUAAGGCUCUACGGG